rnacentral:rRNA from 1 species
CAGCCGCCGCGGGAAAACGAAGGGUGCAAGCGUUACUCGGAAUUACUGGGCGUAAAGCGUGCGUAGGUGGUUGUUUAAGUCUGCUGUGAAAGCCCUGGGCUCAACCUGGGAAUUGCAGUGGAUACUGGGCAACUAGAGUAAGGUAGAGGAUAGUGGAAUUUCCGGUGUAGCAGUGAAAUGCGUAGAGAUCGGAAGGAACAUCUGUGGCGAAGGCGACUAUCUGGGCCAUUACUGACACUGAGGCACGAAAGCGUGGGGAGCAAACAGGAUUAGAUACCCGCGUAGUCCCUGUCUCUUAUAC